rnacentral:rRNA from 1 species
GGAGUUAGCCGGUGCUUCUUCUGUGAGUGAUGUCCUUCCUGCCGGCUAUUAACCCGCAGGCCUUCUUCCUCACUGAAAGUGCUUUACAACCCGAAGGCCUUCUUCACACACGCGGCAUGGCUGGAUCAGGGUUGCCCCCAUUGUCCAAUAUUCCCCACUGCUGCCUCCCGUAGGAGUCUGGGCCGUGUCUCAGUCCCAGUGUGGCUGAUCAUCAUCUCAGACCAGCUACGGAUCGUCGCCUUGGUGAGCCGUUACCUCACCAACCAGCUAAUCCGACAUAGGCUCAUCCGAUAGCGCGAGGCCCGAAGGUCCCCCGCUUUCCCCCGUAGGGCGUAUGCGGUAUUAGCCUGGGUUUCCCCAGGUUAUCCCCCACUACCGGGCAGAUUCCUAUGCAUUACUCACCCGUCCGCCGCUCGCCACCAGGGAGCAAGCUCCCCGUGCUGCCGCUCGACUUGCAUGUGUUAGGCCUGCCGCCAGCGUUCAAUCUGAACCAGAAUCAAACUCUGA